CUCAAAUCAGGUAAGGAUACCCGCUGAACUUAAGCAUAUCAUAGCGGAGGAA
rnacentral:rRNA from 1 species